CCCACACACCUCUCCCUUGCCGGCCAUGGCCACGCCCAGCGCCGCCGCACGGCGCAGCGGCUCCGGCGUCUAAUUAUCUUCUCCUCUCUCUCUUUCUAAAUCGCGUCAGGGAGAUCAGCGGGAGGAGGCGCGUCGCGGGAGGCUCCGCGAGCACGUCGCGGGAGGAUACGCGAGGCGGCCGCCGACGAGCGCAUCGCGGGAUGCUCCGCGAGCGCGUAGCGGGAGGCUACACGAGGCGGCCGCCGACGAGCGCAUCGCGCGAGGCUCCGCGAGGCGGCCACCGACGAGAACGUCGCGGUAGGCUCCGCCAGGAUGCCUCCGACGAGCGCGACGAGGAGCUUCGCGUCGCGGGACGGUCUCCAACAGGCCGCCGACGCCGAGCGCGACGAGGCACGUCGCGGGAGGGCUUCGCCUGGACGCCUCCGACGAGCUCCAGGAGGCGCGUCUGCCUUCAGUUGUGAUUGUAGGGGAUCCACGCGUGUAUCUCUCUGUGGGUCUCUGCGUGGAUAAGGUCGGCUUUCUGGUGGUGGAGGUGCUACUGACCGGCAAGCCCGUGGUGGUCGAGGUGCUGCUAACGGGCAGGGCGAUGCCGCGCUUUCCGCGCGUGGUGGUGGUGUUGAACGACUACCUAAUGUGCGGCACCAUGUCCAGCAAGAUCGUGUGGCAGUUCCGUGACGCAGGUGCGCGCGUCAGCCUGUCCGUGGUGGGUUCGUGCCUCUACAGCGUCGACACCCUGAACGAUAGGGAGUACAUACGGCGAGAAGGCAGGGGACUACUGCGACGCCUGCUUCUCUCGCAAGUACCCUGUGCUGCCGACACUGCUCGAGCCGGCCGUCGAAUUCGAUGAAGAUUGACUGGUGAGCAGAGAACACUGCAGUUUGCUUGGAUUCUCUUAGAUUCGCAUGUUUGGCUAUUUGCAUGAUUUUGUAGAUGAAGCAUUGAUUCUCGGAAAAUAUUAGUAUUGAUUGUUGGACAGGUUUCUCUGAGAUGUUGGGCAGUUGGUUCAACCUCCAGUGUUCCUCAAGUACUACUGAUUUGAUGUUCAAACUUAAAUCAAAGAAUCGGAAGUCAGAUGGGACAAUGGGAAUUCGAAGAUGAUGCAGAUCUGCUAAAGAACAAGCAUACUGCUCAUCUAGGAGAUGCAAUAAUAACGGGACAAAUUCAAUCUUCUAUGCAAGGCAUUGGUAUGCUCUCACUACUGAGAGGUGGCUACUGAAGAAGUUCAGAUGCUUAGAGAUUAUAUGGACAACACUGCAUUACAGACUGGCAGAGCUCUGCAAAAAUACAAAAGGCGAACAAAUUGAAACCACACUUUAUGCUUUAUCCAAAUAACUACUUGAAGCAAUUGAGGGAAAACGCUUGAAGUUAAACAUUGUGAUCGCAAGAGAUGAAAACCCACAUAACUGGUGGUUCGGUUAAUACGAGGAUUGUUGGAAGAAAACAAUUCCAACUGGAAAUUCCUUCAGAUGUUCCAGCUAUAAAGGCACACACGAACGACAUAGGUAGAGAUGCAAUACUGCUUGCUGCAACCACUGAAAGCCGUCCUGAUUUCGUCCCUCGAGCCAUUGCCAACACGGUGGGGAAGAAGUGUAUUGUUUUCGCUGAUGUGACACUGGAAACUCUUGACAUGGGAUAGUUUAAUAUUCUUCACCAUGUCAAAUGUCCAGCUGAUUAAUACUACAGCACUACCAGAGCCAUCUCCUAGCAACUCCAGCCGAGCAGCAAGCAAUGAAGCAUCUGUGCUUACACACCCACCUUGAGAUAUACAGAAUCACCUCGAGGACGAGAAAGACCCACAAAGCAGCACCUGCAAGGGGCGUACUUGAGCGCGUGUUUUUUUGGUCUUUUUUCAGCUUUUCAGCAAAUCAAAAUAAAUGUGUGGCUUUGGGAGCUGUCUUUCCUAAAGCCAAAGCAACAAAUAGGCUGAAGAAGCAGUCAACAUGGACAUAGGAGGAUCAACAACUCAAGGAAAGAAGAUAAACAAUGCAUUGACAACAACUAAAACAGCAAAAAAAGGUACAUUCAACUACCAUAUUCAUGUUACAUCAAUCUCACAUCAUACUGGUGAGAAGGGGCUAGCGAAGGAACUCUUCCCUCAGCUAUCAUCAAAGGCCUACUUGGAAGCAAACGAAGACAGACAGGCAACUAGGCGGCUACAAACAAAGCCUUGCUACAAACACAGCUUUCCUCCAGGAAAUCACAGCCGACUUUUGUUAUCGACGCUACGUUGUAUAAUAAUACCAUCCUAUGUAAUGCAACCGGUAGUGGACAAUCUAGCGAUCCUGUAAUAUUGUGUACCUACAACUCUAUGUAUAAUUUACUCCUACAAUAACUUUAUACACAAUACUGCAUUUUGUGAACUUCAACCGUAGAACAUUAAUGAUUUAUUCAGAAACCUUUUAAUA